AGGAGGAACAGCCCCAGUGGCGGGGCAGCUCUUCAGCUCCGGCAGGAACUCCGGAGCUCUCCGUCUGCAGGGCCUGGAGGCUCCGGGGCGGG
rnacentral:pre_miRNA from 1 species